rnacentral:rRNA from 1 species
UGCGUAGGCGGGUCUUUAAGUCAGGGGUGAAAUCCUGGAGCUCAACUCCAGAACUGCCUUUGAUACUGAAGAUCUUGAGUUCGGGAGAGGUGAGUGGAACUGCGAGUGUAGAGGUGAAAUUCGUAGAUAUUCGCAAGAACACCAGUGGCGAAGGCGGCUCACUGGCCCGAUACUGACGCUAAGGCACGAAAGCGUGGGAGCAAACA